rnacentral:rRNA from 1 species
GAUGAACGCUGGCGGCGUGCUUAACACAUGCAAGUCGAACGAAGCAGCUUUCUUCGGAAAGGUGACUGAGUGGCGGACGGGUGAGUAACGCGUGGGUAACCUGCCCUAUACAGGGGGAUAACAGUUAGAAAUGACUGCUAAUACCGCAUAAGCGCACAGUGCUGCAUGGCACAGUGUGAAAAACUCCGGUGGUAUAGGAUGGACCCGCGUCUGAUUAGCUAGUUGGCAGGGUAACGGCCUACCAAGGCGACGAUCAGUAGCCGGCUUGAGAGAGUGGACGGCCACAUUGGGACUGAGACACGGCCCAG